rnacentral:rRNA from 1 species
UACGUAGGGUGCAAGCGUUGUCCGGAAUUAUUGGGCGUAAAGAGCUCGUAGGCGGUUUGUCGCGUCGGCCGUGAAAACUUGGGGCUUAACUCCAAGCUUGCGGUCGAUACGGGCAGACUUGAGUUCGGCAGGGGAGACUGGAAUUCCUGGUGUAGCGGUGAAAUGCGCAGAUAUCAGGAGGAACACCGGUGGCGAAGGCGGCAUCCUGGACCGAUACUGACGCUGAGGAGCGAAAGCCAGGGGAGCAAACGGG